rnacentral:rRNA from 1 species
UCAGAACGAACGCUGGCGGCAGGCUUAACACAUGCAAGUCGAACGAGCCUUCGGGCUUAGUGGCGGACGGGUGAGUAACGCGUGGGAACGUGCCCCUUGGUACGGAAUAGUCCCGGGAAACUGGGUUUAAUACCGUAUAUUCUCUGCGGAGGAAAGAUUUAUCGCCAAGGGAUCGGCCCGCGUUGGAUUAGGUAGUUGGUGGGGUAAUGGCCUACCAAGCCCGCGAUCCAUAGCUGGUUUGAGAGGAUGAUCAGCCACACUGGGACUGAGACACGGCCCAGACUCCUACGGGAGGCAGCAGUGGGGAAUCUUAGACAAUGGGGGAAACCCUGAUCUAGCCAUGCCGCGUGAGCGAUGAAGGCCUUAGGGUUGUAAAGCUCUUUCGCUGGGGAAGAUAAUGACGGUACCCAGUAAAGAAGCCCCGGCUAACUCCGUGCCAGCAGCCGCGGUAAUACGGAGGGGGCUAGCGUUGUUCGGAAUUACUGGGCGUAAAGCGCGCGUAGGCGGAUUGGAAAGUUGGGGGUGAAAUCCCGGGGCUCAACCCCGGAACUGCCUCCAAAACUAUCAGUCUGGAGUUCGAGAGAGGUGAGUGGAAUUGCGAGUGUAGAGGUGAAAUUCGUAGAUAUUCGCAGGAACACCAGUGGCGAAAGCGGCUCACUGGCUCGAUACUGAC